rnacentral:tRNA from 1 species
AAAGUAAACAAAAAUAAGCUGCUAACUUAUUCUCUAGUGAGAUUCAUUAUUACUUUU